rnacentral:lncRNA from 10 species
AAAAAAAAAAAAAAAAAAAAGGUUGGGCAUAUUCAAUAUAAAUGGCCCAGGAAGAUCCCCUGGCAGCCCUGCCGAUGCUACGUGUUCCGGAAUUCCUAUUGCCAUUUUCGCACUCACACUUUAAUAGGUGCAGACAACUGAGAAUCUCAGAUCCUGAACUACAGAGGCUCAAACAAACAGGUAAGCUGAGGAAAUGUCUAUGUGGGGGUGGGGGACACGGGGAAUCAUUCUUACUGGGUUCUGAAAGGAAUGCUAAUUCCACCCACGAAACAAGAAACAGAUGGUAUAGAAAAGGAACAUUCAGAAAAUAGAAAACAGUUCUUGAGAGUUAAAAACUUGAGAGCAGAAAUGAAACAGUCAGCAGAAGGACUAGAACACUGAGUUGAAGAAUUCUAGGAAGUAGAGCAAAAAGGUAAAGUGAAGGCAUAGAUGGAAAAAGACAAGAAAUGGAAGGUCCCACCAGGAGGCCCAACUUUUUUAAAAAAGGGCAUUCCAGAAAGAGGAGAAAACAAGAGAGGAAAUAAACAACGAAAUCGUUCACGAACAUUUUCUCAAACUACAGGGCAUGAAUGUCCACAAUGGAAAGGGCCCUGAGUUCCAGCUCAGCAGACCAAAAUAGAUGAGUGACCAAGCCUUUCUCCUGAGUCGGUGGCUUGAUUAAUUUCUAUUUCUCUUAAAAGUUGUAAGCAGUCAUUUUUCUCCUGAAAUGUGAAGGCAGCUCUAGAGGCCUCAGAGAGUCAUUGUUGGUUCUAGCAGGUGAGAAAUCUUGGCAGGUGGAAAUGGAGAUGAGAAGCCUCCAUGAAUGGAAGUGGGGGUGAGAGGCCUCAGCAGGUGGAACUGGAGGUGAGAAGCCUCGGCGGGUGGAACUGGAGGUGAGAAGCCUCGGUGGGUGGAACUGGAGGUGAGAAGCCUCGGUGGGUGGAACUGGAGGUGAGAAGCCUCGGUGGGUGGAACUGGAGGUGAGAAGCCUCGGUGGGUGGAAUUGGAGGUGAGAAGCCUCGGUAGGUGGAACUGGAGGUGAGAAGCGUUGGUGGAUAGAAUUGGAGGUGAGAAGUCUUGGCAGGUGGAACUGGAGGUGAGAAGCCUCGGUGGGUGGAACUGGAGGUGAGAAGCCUCGGUGGGUGGAAUUGGAGGUGAGAAGCCUCAGUGGGUGGAACUGGAGGUGAGAAGCCUCGGUGGGUGGAACUGGAGGUGAGAAGCCUCUGUGGGUGGAAUUGGAGGUGAGAAGCCUUGGUGGAUAGAUUUGGAGGUGAGAAGCCUAGGCAGGUGGAACUGGAGGUGAGAAGCCUCUGUGGGUGGAAUUGGAGGUGAGAAGUCUCGGCAGGUGGAAUUGGAGCUGAAAAGCCUCAGCAGAUGGAAUUGGAGGCAGCUCCUGAGGAUGCCCUGUGUCUGGUGCAGCUGCACAGCCAGGGUAUGGACUGUGUGUGCCCCCACAGCUCCGUGCCUAAUCAGUGAUCUGCUUACCAAAGUGGGCAAGGGGCCCUGGGAGUGAGGCCAGCCAGAAAACCGGAAUCAGAUGAGGGGCCUGAGCCCCCUGCUAACUCUCCCUGGGGAGCCGGAGGAAAGAACUGGCUCCAGGAACAGGCGCAGAGAGGGAAGCCAGGCAUCGGGGGUUGUGGCAGACAGGGACCUCCAGGGCUGCCUCAGGUGGAGGUAGGUGCUUUCAACGCAUUUCAGCUAAAAGAACAGGUAAUCCCACAGCAUCAUUCUCCCCUUGACCUUUCAAAGCCCCUAAUCUGAUGGCAUACCUGUAUGUGGAUCACUGACGAUGCUUUUCAAGGUUGAGCAAUUUGUUCAUAUUUACUCUGUGGUUGGGUGUGAAAACACCAGGUCAAGGAUAACAUCGCGGCUGUUUGUUCGCCUCAUGGGAGAAGGAGCUGAGGGCCUUUCUGCAAGCACAGGAUUGAUGGUGAUCCUGAGUCACG